UCCACCUGUAUCAGGAUAAGAAGACAUUUAGAAAUUGCAAAAUCAAAUGACUAUUGAAAAAUCUUUUUGGGAUGUUUCUUGAUGGUGUAACGGCCAUAUUGCUUUGUAAGCGUAAUGUAUACGGAGUGUAGUCGGUCGGGAGAGAGUAGUGUAACGUGGAGUCAGGUACUGUGUACACGCGUAUAAAUAAUUAUGUAAAAUGUGUUUCCUGUAAUAAACUUUUAUUCACAUAUAAUUAUAUUAUUGUGGGACACUCACAUACUCCCUAUAAAAGGUUACCCCCCUAACAGUGACUUUGGCAAAUCACUAACUACAGUGUAACAAAUAUUUUUGUAGUUCCUAGUAAAAUUAAGCAAAAUUGUUCAAGACUUAAUAAAUAUAUUGAUAUUAGAAGCCAGGUGAUUAUGAGAAUAGGUAGUACCUCAGCACGGCUGGCGCCGGCGAUAUAGUAGAGGUGAUGCUGGUUGGGCUUCAUGCGUUUCACGUAGUCGCUGAGGAAGGUCAUCUGGUCCGAGUGAGACGAGUGGAAGCGCAGCAACUUUGCCAGCCGCGAC